GGAGCCUGCGGCUUAAUUUGACUCAACACGGGGAAACUUACCAGGUCCAGACAUAGUAAGGAUUGACAGACUGAGAGCUCUUUCGAUGAAUGGAGAUGUAAAUAGAAGCAAGAAAGGUGUACAUGUGUACGCGGGCAUAC
rfam:Ipomoea nil DNA, scaffold: scaffold2446, cultivar: Tokyo-kokei standard.